GGCGAACGCUGGCGGCGUGCUUAACACAUGCAAGUCGAACGGAAAGGCCCUGCUUUUGUGGGGUGCUCGAGUGGCGAACGGGUGAGUAACACGUGAGUAACCUGCCCUUGACUUUGGGAUAACUUCAGGAGACUGGGGCUAAUACCGGAUAGGAGCUCCUGCUGCAUGGUGGGGGUUGGAAAGUUUCGGCGGUUGGGGAUGGACUCGCGGCUUAUCAGCUUGUUGGUGGGGUAGUGGCUUACCAAGGCUUUGACGGGUAGCCGGCCUGAGAGGGUGACCGGCCACAUUGGGACUGAGAUACGGCCCAGACUCCUACGGGAGGCAGCAGUGGGGAAUAUUGCACAAUGGGCGGAAGCCUGAUGCAGCAACGCCGCGUGCGGGAUGACGGCCUUCGGGUUGUAAACCGCUUUCGCCUGUGACGAAGCGUGAGUGACGGUAAUGGGUAAAGAAGCACCGGCUAACUACGUG
rnacentral:rRNA from 1 species